UGUCCUUCCUCAGCCGCGGGCGCUCAGAGCUCGGAAAUGGCGGGGUUUGGUGCAAUGGAGAAAUUUCUAGUGGAAUAUAAGAGUGCGGUGGAGAAGAAACUGGCUGAGUACAAGUGUAACACCAACACAGCAAUCGAGCUGAAACUGGUUCGUUUUCCUGAAGAUCUUGAGAAUGACAUUAGAACUUUCUUUCCUGAAUAUACCCAUCAACUCUUUGGGGAUGAUGAAACUGCUUUUGGUUACAAGGGCCUGAAGAUCUUGUUGUACUAUAUUGCUGGUAGCCUGUCAACUAUGUUCCGUGUUGAAUAUGCAUCUAAAGUUGAUGAGAACUUUGAUUGUGUGGAGGCAGAUGACGUUGAAGGCAAAAUCAGACAAAUCAUUCCACCUGGGUUUUGCACAAACACAAAUGAUUUUCUUUCCUUGCUGGAAAAGGAAGCUGAUUUCAAGCCAUUUGGAACCCUCCUCCAUACAUACUCAGUUCCUAGUCCAACAGGAGGAGAAAACUUUACUUUUCAGAUAUACAAGGCUGACAUGACAUGUAGAGGCUUUCGAGAAUAUCAUGAAAGGCUUCAGACCUUUUUGAUGUGGUUUAUUGAAACUGCUAGCUUUAUUGACGUGGAUGAUGAAAGAUGGCACUACUUUCUAGUGUAAGUACAGUUCUAAAGCAACAGUGGACCUUAUUACCUCCACAAAGCCAGCAUUUUAAUUGUGGCAGCCCAAU
rnacentral:lncRNA from 1 species